CAGGAAAUUAACAUAUCACUUAAUAUGUCAUCACAUAAUAGACCUUUGCAUCAGUUCAAAACCAAAAGCUACAUCGACCAUAACAUCUUACAUAGCUACAGCUAUAUCAGUUCACAUACCUACAGCUAUCAGCUGAUCCUAAUACGUCAGUUAAGAACCAAAUACGUGCUACAGCCAUCAGUGCAUCACGGCAUCAGUACAACGAAUCAGCUUGCAUCACAUAACACCUAGCUUACACAGCCGCAUCAAAUUAACUAGAACAGGGGAAUUGGUAAGAAACAGGGCACUUCGACAACCAGCGGCCCAUCCGUCUCCGGUGCCGUCAACCCUGCCACUGUAAAUCUUGAAGUGAUGGGUGCGGGUGAGGUCAGCGCCUUCAGCUGGUAGCCACGCAUCUGGCAAAUGUUCCGCGAGGAGAGGGCUGCGGUCAAGCAUUGCAGACCUUCUGCACGAGCAUUGUAGUCCGCGUCAGCUCACAGCUCUUGCCGCCAACGACCGACACCACCAGCACCACCCCGCGGUAGUGCUUGCCCAGAGCGUCUACCGCCGGUGUGCGCGCGAGGAGCAGCCGACCAGUCUCCGGCCGGAGAUACGGCUCGCCGCAGCGCCACACUCACUGGGAAAACGAGCUGGCAAGUAGCCUUGCGGCUGAACCGAUGCCGCGCCCGACGGGCGCCUCACGGGGGACCCGCGCUGCCGCCGGCGCGGGGCAUCGAGCU
rnacentral:rRNA from 1 species